rnacentral:pre_miRNA from 1 species
AUAAUAUUCCCUCCGUCCAGAAUUACUUGUCAUCAAAAUGGAUGUGUCUAGAACUAAAAUACAUCUAGAUACAUCCAUUUCAAUGACAAGUAUUUUCAGACGGAGGGAGUAGUAG